rnacentral:rRNA from 1 species
UANAGUUUGAUCCUGGCUCACAUUGAACGCUGGCGGCAGGCCUAACACAUGCAAGUCGAGCGCGAAAGGCCUUCGGGCUGAGUAGAGCGGCGGACGGGUGAGUAACGCGUAGGAAUCUACCUGGUAGUGGGGGACAACAUGGUGAAAACCAUGCUAAUACCGCAUACGCCCUAUGGGGGAAAGCGGGGGACCUUCGGGCCUCGCGCUAUCAGAUGAGCCUGCGUAGGAUUAGCUUGUUGGUGAGGUAAAGGCUCACCAAGGCGACGAUCCUUAGCUGGUCUGAGAGGAUGAUCAGCCACACUGGAACUGAGACACGGUCCAGACUCCUACGGGAGGCAGCAGUGGGGAAUAUUGCGCAAUGGGCGAAAGCCUGACGCAGCCAUGCCGCGUGUGUGAAGAAGGCCUUCGGGUUGUAAAGCACUUUCAAUUGGGAAGAAAGGUUGCGUGUUAAUAGCACGUAGCUGUGACGUUACCUUUAGAAGAAGCACCGGCUAACUCCGUGCCAGCAGCCGCGGUAAUACGGAGGGUGCGAGCGUUAAUCGGAAUUACUGGGCGUAAAGCGCGCGUAGGCGGUUUGUUAAGUCGGAUGUGAAAUCCCCGGGCUCAACUGGGAAUGGCAUUCGAUACUGGCCGACUAGAGUACGAGAGA